CAAGGUAUAGCUCAAGUGGUAGAGCACAUGCUUAGCAUGCAUGAGGUCCUGGGUUCAAUCCCCAGUACCUCCU
rnacentral:tRNA from 1 species